rnacentral:lncRNA from 1 species
GAGAAAAGGAUGGCGGACAAAGACAAGAAGGCGCUGGAGCAACGUCACAAUGAAUGGGCAGCUAAAUUUAAGAUUGCUUACGCAGAGGGUGUAGCAAAGAGAGAGCGGGAGGAGGAACUCUUCAUGGAGAGGGUGCUGGAAGAGGCUUCAAAAAUGCGCAAAAGGGAAGACGAAGAGGAUGAAGAGAGGAAGAAGAAAAAGGGGAAGGGGCCUUGCUCGACG